rnacentral:rRNA from 1 species
GACGAACGCUGGCGGCGUGCUUAACACAUGCAAGUCGAACGAUGAACCAGGGCUUGCCCUGGGGAUUAGUGGCGAACGGGUGAGUAACACGUGGGCAACCUGCCCCAGACACCGGGAUAACCAUUCGAAAGAGUGGCUAAUACCGGAUACGACCACUUUGGGCGUCCAACGGUGGUGGAAAGGAUUCUGGGCUGGGAUGGGCCCGCGGCCUAUCAGCUUGUUGGUGGGGUAAUGGCCUACCAAGGCGACGACGGGUAGCCGGCCUGAGAGGGCGAACGGCCACACUGGGACUGAGACACGGCCCAGACUCCUACGGGAGGCAGCAGUGGGGAAUAUUGCGCAAUGGGCGAAAGCCUGACGCAGCGACGCCGCGUGAGGGACGAAGGUCUUCGGAUUGUAAACCUCUUUCAGCAGGGACGAAGCGAAAGUGACUGUACCUGCAGAAGAAGCACCGGCUAACUACGUGCCAGCAGCCGCAGUAACAC